AUUGAACGCUGGCGGCAGGCCUAACACAUGCAAGUCGAGCGGAUGAAGGGAGCUUGCUCCUGGAUUCAGCGGCGGACGGGUGAGUAAUGCCUAGGAAUCUGCCUGGUAGUGGGGGAUAACGUCCGGAAACGGGCGCUAAUACCGCAUACGUCCUGAGGGAGAAAGUGGGGGAUCUUCGGACCUCACGCUAUCAGCUGAGACUAGGUCGGAUUAGCGAGUUGGUGGGGUAAAGGCCUACCAAGGCGACGAUCCGUAACUGGUCUGAGAGGAUGAUCAGUCACACUGGAACUGAGACACGGUCCAGACUCCUACGGGAGGCAGCAGUGGGGAAUAUUGGACAAUGGGCGAAAGCCUGAUCCAGCCAUGCCGCGUGUGUGAAGAAGGUCUUCGGAUUGUAAAGCACUUUAAGUUGGGAGGAAGGGCAGUAAGUUAAUACCUUGCUGUUUUGACGUUACCAACAGAAUAAGCACCGGCUAACUUCGUG
rnacentral:rRNA from 1 species